rnacentral:rRNA from 1 species
CAGCCGCCGCGGGAAUACGAGGGGGGCAAGCGUUGUUCGGAAUUAUUGGGCGUAAAGGGUGCGUAGGCGGUUUGGCAAGUCUUAUGUGAAAUCUUCGGGCUCAACCCGAAGUCUGCAUGAGGAACUGCCGGGCUUGAGUAUGGGAGAGGUGAGUGGAAUUUCCGGUGUAGCGGUGAAAUGCGUAGAUAUCGGAAGGAACACCUGUGGCGAAAGCGGCUCACUGGACCAUAACUGACGCUGAUGCACGAAAGCUAGGGGAGCAAACAGGAUUAGAUACCCCCGUAGUCCCUGUCUCUUAUAA